CUCCAAUAUUUUUGGUGCUAUACUUUGACCAGCAGAAAAGCCUGUCUCCAGACACUGGGCAGAAACCUUAAAUGUCAAACAGAGGAGCAUGAGAGCCCCACCUCCUUUUAUGUUUAAGAUUGUUUGUUUCCGAGAUCUCCGGAUUCUGUCUCCUAGGUUUGAGAGGGAGAAACAUGAUAAUAUCUGCUCCUCCUAUACACUCAGCUUAGCCACUAGGCUAGAGUCAGAGCGCCUGCGCACUCGAAGGUCCUCCUCAGCCAGUCUCUGCAGAGAAUUCCAUUUCCCACAAUCCCUUCUACCCCACCGAAUCCCAUGGAGAGCAGGGCGCAAGCACGGCUAACCGCCGAGGCCUUCGGGAAACGUAGGCUGACGGCCCCUGUUGCGCAUGAGCAUUUGCUCUCAGGCCUGGCUCUGAUGCACGGGUGCUUUGUCCUGCUAGCUGGGAGCGGCUGCAAGUGUAGGCAGGGGGUUCCAGCCUUCUUCCAAGAGCCCUGGGCAUUGGUCUACAGGACAAGCUGAUUUCAUCUGGUCUCUGCCUCAUAGUGGCCUCCAGUCCUCUAGAGCACAGGCUAAGGCUUCUGAGAGAGGACUUCCUAUGGUUCAGACUGAGAUUAGAACCUCAGAAAAGCUCCCAGUUGAAGAGUCACUGCCACUGAGGCCCCGCAUCCUGGCUCCACAGAUCAGACCAGAUUCCUCAGAAAGUAGAAUUGGAAUGGAGAAGAAAAUAGAGUGGAAUUGGAAGAGAGAGCCUCCGGGGAGUCAGAAUCCUCCCCAAGAGAAAGCUUGCUGUUCCCCAGGACUUCUCUUCAGAACUAUGGGAGCACAAGAAGGAGAAAAUCAGGGAGCUACUGGUGCUGAAGUAAUUCCUGUCCCAGGAGAUCAGGACUUCAGUGACGUCAAGAGAUCAGAUGAAUAUCAAAGAGGAAUGACUAUGGAGGAUAAGAUUCCUAUUCUUCUGGACAGAGCUCCAUGGCCUCUGAAGUCUUCCCUUCUCCAAAAGUGGAACACAGAAGAGGAAGCAGUGGCUGCUAGGUCUGUCACUUCCUGGGGGCAUGUUGGGGGAUGGCCCCUGGGCCAGCAGAAAUCUGGUGUUUCAGGAAGCAGUGACAUUCAAGGAGGUGACUGUGGACUUUACCCGAGAGGAGUGGGAGCGCCUGGACCCUCUUCAGAGAGACCUCUACAAGGAUGUGAUGUUGGAGAACUAUAGGAACCUGGUCUCCCUAGGUAAGGUUAUCUUCCCCUUGUGAAUCAGGUCUUCCUUUGAGGGUACCUGUUAUUAAAUGUUUUUGGGCUUCCACUGUGCUUAGCCAAAGCAAUUCAGUCUUCCAAGAAUCCUAAUCGUCUUUGUAGACAGAGACAGUGAUACCGGAUCCUUGUUACCAAGUAAAAGGGAUCCCAGAAUAGACUUGGAAACCUGCAACUUCUCUUUCUGGCCAUUCCUUAUCCCAAGACAGCAAGGGACUUUCAGGCAAGGCUCCAGUACAGAAUUCUCUGUAAGAUAGAGAAUCUUAUCCUUGUGGCUAGAAAAGGCAACCUCAAUUUCUUUGUAAUACCUUAGCAAUCAUAGAAUCUUAGAAUUAGAAAGGCACUUUGAGAUAAUUUAAUCUGAUAUGAAAGUUGAAGCCCAAGGGGAGAAGAAAGUCAUACAGUGAGUCAGUGUAGAAUUGGGAUUCAAACCUGUGUCCAGUAUCCCUUCUACUACACCAUGCCCCUAACAAAUAUGAGGAUAUGGGCUCUGUGCCCAUUUCAACUUUCAAUUAUUAGGAGUCUUCAAGUAGAAGGUAGAUUAGCUGCUUGUGAUAUGUGGUUUGGUGGAAUUCAUGUUUCAGGGCAGUUUUGAAUGAGUGAACCUCUCAUGCCCCUUCCACUUUCCAAAGAUUGUAUUAUUCUUUGAUUUGUCUAGGUAGCACAUUGAGCUGGUGAUAGAGCGAGGACUCAAAGCCAGGUUUUCUAAGUUCUAGGGCAGAGCUCUCACCAUUGUGCAGCACUGCCACAUGGACCCACCAUCCCACUUUGAAACACAAUCCAGAAUCCUUUUAUUUUCUACUUUUUACGUAUACAAAGUUCUCUUGUUUCUUUCCCUACAAAUAGGACUUAUGGAUUCCAAACCAGUCAUGAUUUCCUGGUUGGAGUGGGGAGAAGAGUUUCAAAUGCCUUAUCCCCAAGAAACUGAAAAAGGAGUGGUCUUAGAGGGCACCUGUCCAGGU
ensembl:lncRNA